rnacentral:rRNA from 1 species
UGGGGAAUAUUGGACAAUGGGCGCAAGCCUGAUCCAGCCAUGCCGCGUGAGUGAUGAAGGCCCUAGGGUUGUAAAGCUCUUUCACCGGUGAAGAUAAUGACGGUAACCGGAGAAGAAGCCCCGGCUAACUUCGUGCCAGCAGCCGCGGUAAUACGAAGGGGGCUAGCGUUGUUCGGAUUUACUGGGCGUAAAGCGCACGUAGGCGGACUAUUAAGUCAGGGGUGAAAUCCCGGGGCUCAACCCCGGAACUGCCUUUGAUGCUGGUAGUCUUGAGUUCGAGAGAGGUGAGUGGAAUUCCGAGUGUAGAGGUGAAAUUCGUAGAUAUUCGGAGGAACACCAGUGGCGAAGGCGGCUCACUGGCUCGAUACUGACGCUGAGGUGCGAAAGCGUGGGGAGCAAACAGG